AUCUCAGAUUAAGUAAGGAGACCCGCUGAAUUUAAGCAUAUAAUUAAGCGGAGGAAAAGAAACUAACCAGGAUUCCCUCAGUAAGGGCGACUGAAGCGGGAAGAGCUCAAACCGAAGAAUUGUGGUGUGUUUGCGUUAUCGCUCGGCCGAAGUCCCUUGGAACAGGGCAGCAUAGAGGGUGAGACUCCCGUUCGGCUGUGCAUUUGAGCUUACAUGAUUGAGUCGAGUUGUUUGGGAUUGCAGCUCAAAGUGGGUGGUAAAUUCCAUCGAAAGCUAAAUAUUGGUGGGAG
rnacentral:rRNA from 1 species